rnacentral:rRNA from 1 species
AUGGUAAAUAUGGUUAGUUUGAAGGUUCUAAUUGUGGAAAAGGAGGUUAGAUUGGAUGAAUCUUUGCUCUUUCUGUCAAAUAUUGCCUCAUUGCCUCACUUUGUGGUGCAUGCUUCAAGUAAUAAUUGUAGCAGCAAUAUCAUCCGGCUGAAACCUACAAACCCUCAUGAGCUGAUAAUAGGUAGACUUGAAAACGUGAAGUCUGCAGAAGAGGCAGAGAGUAUAAAACUAAUAGAGAAACAAAGAAUUAAAGCUUUAACAUUUCAAUGGACUGCACAUGCUGCUAGCCUGCUAGGUAUGUGGAUGACAAGGAUGUGUUGGAAAAACUAG